CGCGUAGGUGGUAGUGUAAGUCUGAGGUGGAAUCCUAUGGCCUUAACCAUAGAACUGCCUUGGAUACUGUAUUACUUGAGUCAGUGAGGGGAGGGUAGAAUUCCUGGUGUAGCGGUGAAAUGCGUAGAUAUCAGGAGGAAGGCCUGUGGCGAAGGCGGCCCUCUGGCGCUGGACUGACACUGAGGCGCGAAAGCGUGGGGAGCAAACAGGAUUAGAUACCCUGGUAGUCCACGCCCUAAACGGUGGGCACUAGGUGUAGGGCUCCGUAAGGGUUCUGUGCCGAAGGGAAACCAUUAAGUGCCCCGCCUGGGGAGUACGGCCGCAAGGUUAGAA
rnacentral:rRNA from 1 species